GGGAAUUUUGCGCACUGGGGGAAACCCUGACGCAGCAACGCCGCGUGGAGGAUGAAGUAUCUCGGUACGCAAACUCCUUUCGAUGGGGAAGAUAAUGACGGUACCCAUAGAAGAAGCCCCGGCUAACUUCGUGCCAGCAGCCGCGGUAAUACGAGGGGGGCAAGCGUUGUUCGGAUUUAUUGGGCGUAAAGGGUGCGUAGGCGGUUUGGCAAGUCUCGUGUGAAAUCUAUGGGCUCAACCCAUAGCCUGCACGAGAAACUACCGGGCUUGAGUAAUGGAGAGGUGAGUGGAAUUUCCGGUGUAGCGGUGAAAUGCGUAGAUAUCGGAAGGAACGCCUGUGGCGAAAGCGGCUCACUGGACCAUUUCUGACGCUGAUGCACGAAAGCUAGGGGAGCAAACA
rnacentral:rRNA from 1 species